AUCACGGCCGCCCCAGGCUGGACAGCGAUGAGACACCAGGUCACCAGAAGAAUAUGCUCACGCGUGGAACUGCAUUUCCAGUGUUCACCAACGGAAUCCUGUGUGGAAAGAAAACAAGAAGAGGUUAAAUGGCAGUGGGCCAAAAGUAGUAGGUGUCUAUGAGGCCCCUCUGAGCCUCUGUCACUGAGACCCAGGUACACAGCUGCCUGGCUAAAUGACACGCAAGUGUCAUCCUGGGGGCACCAACGCUAUCUCGCUGGACCUGGUCACCAAGGACGGCUACAAAUGCUAGGAAUCCUGAGGGGCCCUCGUGUUAAUUACAGUAAUUGACAGCAUGGUCCUCCUGCCUUUGAGGGAGGGGCCUGAGCUUCCCAAGAGGGCACUGGGACCACCCCUGCACUAACUCAUGAGCAGGUAUGGCAUCCCAGGCUUGCAGGCGACUGAAUGCAUCCAGCAUCCUGCUCGCUCCCCUUCCAGCUCUUGCUGCCAAGGGCAGAGGGACUGCCAGCUCCAGUCCUGGGCUGCAGGAAGCAAUGGAAUCCAUUUUAAUCCUGCUCAGCUGGAGCAGGGCAGGAACUUGGGGAGGCUGAUGGACUGCAUCAGAAAAACCACCCCUUGGAUCUCCCUAAGAAGUGAUGUCACUGGAGAGAGGAAGAAAGUGAAAUGCCCUGCAUGCAGGCCAGGUCAGAUGGCUGCAAAGAAGCAGCUGGCUUUUGCCCAGUUUGAGGGUGCUGCCUCAGAAAGUUGGGACCCCAAAGUCAUCCUGCCUCAGUGAUAGACCCUGAGGUCAGCAUCCCCCAGGAAGACAGAGAGAUACAGCCGUCCUGGGCAUGGCCAGGAAAUCGGACCCUCAAAUGGUACAAAGAGGAUACCAUGGCAGCCUUCUUCUAAAUGGACUCUGGGGUAGGGUUCUUUCUCUUGCAUCAAUUAAGCCCCCCCAGGUGAGCCUCCACAGGACAGAGGGCUGAAGGGCAUCCAGGUGCAGGGACACACCUGCAGCCCGCAGGAGAGCAUCUGGACAGCACUGCAUCCAUCAUCUUCUCUGAGGGCCUCAGCACAUGAAAGUCUACUCCAUCGGGGUGGGGUGGCAGUGCCUGCUCCCUCUCUGGGACCCCUUCUAGUCUGGAUAAGAAAGGCAGGGCGUCGCCUUGCCCAAACAAAUGACACCUGUUUGGGCAACCCCAGGAGGCCCAAAUGGGGCAUCUACUCAUCUCCUGUGGGAUGGUCCGCCCUGCUGUGAGCAGGAGUGUGAUGAAAUGGAUAUCUGGUCAGCUGUGUGCUGGACCACCCUCGGGAGGGUUACUCCAGCUGUCUCCCUCAC